rnacentral:tRNA from 1 species
CUUGACUGAAGCCAAAAAGAGGCUUAUCACUGUUAAUGAUAGAACUGAAUCGCCUUCCUGUCAA